rnacentral:lncRNA from 1 species
GGGUUACAAGUGCCUUUCCCAGCUGCUCCAGGAACACCCUGCUCUUGUCCAGCUUAUCAGGCAUCCAGGUAGGGUUGAUCUUGUUCCAUAUGAGGACACAUCAAUGAUGUUAUGGAAGAUGACCAGGGGCCAGCUGGCUGUCAUCCUCCUGCAGCUGUAAAGUGGAGCUGAGAACCAGUACUGAGGUAAAGGCUCAGUGUGAUCAGAAUGUGUCCCUGCAGUGUGACAUCAUGUCACCGAGCCCACUCAAGAUCAUUCUCUUUUCCUGGGUAAGGAAAGGGAAACAGCUGUGUGUGGUCAAUGCCACUGGUGUAUUCUCCUUUCCUGGCGUCCGGUGUGACAACACAAACAACACCCUCACACUCAAUCUGACUCGGGUGAUGCCGUCCAGUCAGGGUAACUACACCUGCAAACUGCGCUCCAACCUAACGAUCACAGCUGCCAACACCACUGUGACAAUGCAAGAGUGCCUAAGGACAUCUGAGCACAAAGUGUUCCAGAAUGAGUCUCAGGUUGAGUGCCAGUUAUUUGGAGUUUACCCAGAAGGCACAGUACACUGGUUCCUGGGCUCUGAGAAUAUAACAGAGUCCGCCAGCACAAAGAGCCAGCUGGAUGAAGAGGGGCUGUUUGAUAUAAGGAGUACCCUGCCUACCCAGGCUGGGACUGAGCCUUACAACUGCUCCUUGUGGAUACCUAGUAGUGGAACCUACAGCUCUCACAAACAGCUGCACUACUCCAGGGGGCUCUCUUCAGGGACAAAGACUAGGAGCAGACUGCUGUUGUUCUUCAUCCUGGUUGGACUCAUAAUCAUAAUUUAGGACUACUCAUGGGAAGGUCAGGAGUUUUUUUACUGAAUAUGGGACUUCGAACUACAGUAGGGCAAAGGGCUUUUCUGGUCAGGGCACAUCUACACAGGAUGGAUCAGGGCCUUUCUCUUACUGAGUGAAGAGAAAGCAAACCUGGACUGCCAUGGCCAAAGUAGAUAUAUGUUUUCACUUAUUAUACUGGGAAGCAAAAUAUCAAAGAAAUUGCAAUAAAUACAAUUGAAUUUUAAAGCUGAAAAUCAUUGUACAUUGGGAUUUGAGAAUACUGUAAGAAGUAUUCAUCCGUUCAUCGUUUGUCUUCAACGUUAUACACUUGCUUAAAUUGCAUUGCUUAUUACAGUAGUAGAGUACUGCUUCCUGGUGGUGAAAGUGUUUACUGAUGGAAAUAGUAUUGAUGUUAGAUGAGUAAUAAAGCUGUUCUAAAUUGUAUUGUUGAAUUGACUGAUCUUGCUUAUUAAGUCUGUCAUAUCUUGUUGCUGUGUUUUCCAGUCAGCACUGAUUAGACUGAUUAUAUAAUCAAUCAAUGCAAUGUCAAAACAUGGCUAGAAGGACAUGUUACUGUGUGUUCUGGAUUCUAAAAUACAACUUGAAUUGUACCAUAGCAAAUAUAGUCACCCGUGUUGUUUUCUGUACUAGUUCUCAAUUUAAAAAUGAACCAGACCACCCUGGGUACUCAUGACAUUGACAGUAAAAGAAUGAGGACUCAUGGUCAUUCAAAUUGCAUUUCUAGUUCCUUCUCAGUGUACCACAAGGGGGCAGAGUCAUCCCACCAGAGAGGACUGUCAAACCAAUCAUACACAACUCUUCUCCCUCUGCAUACAAACACACACUCAUGCUGUGUGAAUUCCAAUCCAACUGUUCUGUAUAAAUCAACACUUUGAUGUGACACAUUUCCUAUCAAUUUCCUCUACGC